rnacentral:lncRNA from 1 species
GCAGGGAGUGCGCAUGCGGCCGAGUGCGGGACUGGGGCUCCUGGCUGUGGGUGUGGUACUGAGGCUUCAGCGGGUGCCGCCCGCCUAGAGGGAGUGGAGCGGUGAGCACGUCAGGGGUGGGGGGCGCAGGUCAAGCUUUCACCAGUUUUUAAUUCUUUGAUGGGGUAAAUUUGAGCAAUUUUCUCGACUUGUCGACAUUCGUUAUUAACUGAGCAGGAAUCAGGAGAGGAACCCGGUCCUCUCCACACAGCCCAGCAGAGAGCCUACGACUAGAUUUGCAUCUUUACGUCCUGCGCGGAGGCUGCUACACACAUGCAGAAGUCAUGCUGGUGGCCUGGACAUUGAAGGGAGAGAAGUGGAUUUGGGAGACAUUUAGGAGAUGGCACCGAAAGCGAAGGAAGCUCCUGCUCCUCCUAAAGCCGAAGCCAAAGCGAAGGCUUUAAAGGCCAAGAAGGCAGUGUUGAAAGGUGUCCGCAGCCACACGCAAAAAAGAGGAUCCGCAUGUCACUCACCUUCAGGCGGCCCAAGACACUGUGACUCCGGAGGCAGCCCAGAUAGCCUCAGAAGAGCACCCCCAGGAGAAACAAGCUUGGCCACUAUGCUAUCAUCAAGUUUCCGCUGACCACUGAGUCGGCCGUGAAGAAGAUAGAAGAAAACAACACGCUUGUGUUCACUGUGGAUGUUAAAGCCAACAAGCACCAGAUCAGACAGGCUGUGAAGAAGCUCUAUGACAGUGAUGUGGCCAAGGUCACCACCCUGAUUUGUCCUGAUAAAGAGAAGAAGGCAUAUGUUCGACUUGCUCCUGAUUAUGAUGCUUUCGAUGUUGUAACAAAAUUGGGAUCACCUAAACUGAGUCCAGCUGGCUAACUCUAAAUAUAUGUGUAUCUUUUCAGCAUAAAAAAAUAAUGUUUUUCAUAAGAAUGACAACUUAAUUAGAAUCAAAUCUAUAAGCUUUAAGAUUUUACGUUUCUAGUAAGUAUAAUAUUAGCUUAUUUGACUAGAACUCAAGCAGAAUAGGAAUUUAUGCUUGUUUUAUAUUCAAUAAUGAUAAUUUUGAAGAUAUAGUUGUUUUAUUACACCAAAAAUACUAUAUUAAUCUUAUUUAACUAAGUUUUAUCCAAAUCAUGUUAACUUAAGAAACAUUUGAUCAGUUCCUAUAUUUCUAGGAGUUUGGUGAAUAUUUAUUUAUAAAUGCUUAUUUUUUUCCAAGCCAAGUUAGAAUAGAGCACUUUUAGAGGAUUUCAUAAAUGAAUUUUGCAAUGCUCUCUGGAGUUAAGAAAAUAUCACAUAUACAUAACAUACAUUAUUAGAUACACAAACACAAAUAGAGAUUUCAUAGCUUUCAUCCUGAAAUUUCAGCCAUGAAUCAGGCAUAAAUAUUCUGAUGG